GGUCUUGUAGAAAUUUGCCUGAUGCACCCUCUUGAUGUGGUGAAAACCAGGUUUCAGAUUCAGAGAUGCGCAACUGAUCCAAAUAGUUACAAAAGCUUAGGAGACAGCUUUCGAAUGAUUUUCCGCACAGAAGGGUAUUCUUAGUAGGGAAAAAUAUUUAAAAGAGCGCCUUCAUAUUUUUGUGUGUGUUUUUCUUGAUAAUACCAGUUGAAAAUUGAAUAUGUAUAUGAUGGAAACUACCACAAAAGCACAUAUUAAUAACAUCCUUUAUUAAUAAUAUUUUGAUGAUUAGAGGACAAUUUUUAAUUUGUGCUUUUAAGGCUUAUUAAAGUUCUCACAACUGAGGCUAUCUAAAUGUAAUAGUUCUUUGUUUUGAUUCUUAAAUGUAGUGCCCAAAUGUGUUUCUUGUUUGCAUUCUGGUUUAUAAAUAUUCAAUCAAAACAUAUCUUUGUCAAAAAUUGAUGUGUCAAAUUCAUUAUCCUAUCUACUAGAUGAUCAGAUAAACAGAAUAUUUUUGUUACUUUAGCUUAAAUUUUCUUUGAUGUGUCAAUUCAGUUAAAGAAUCUAUUCAGCAUAAUUUUCCAAAGUAUGUUAGAUUUGCUUUUUGAGGUUGUUUUUAUAAGAGAAUGGUUUGAAAAUAAUAAGUAUACCAAAAUGGUAACAGUGAUAAUAAUAACUGGUAUAUGGUUAGCCUCUAUUAUGUAUUAGGAAUUCUCCAUAUACCUCUGAGGUAGGUUCUCUUAGGACCCAUUUUAGUUGGACAGAUGAAGAAACCAAAACUCAGAGAAAUUAGUAAUUUUCGUAUACCUGGUAAAUCGUGAAGCUGGAACUAAAAUCCAGGUUGGUUUGACCCCAAAGCCCGUGCUCCUAACCUCUGUAGUUCACCACCUCUCUUGGCAGAUUAUAUUAAGGAUACUAUUUUGCUAAUUGUCCAUUUCAAUUAAACAUGUGUCAUUGUUGUCUUUCCAUGCCAAUAUAUUCUUUUUAACAGUAGCAUAGUAAUUUAUUUAUCUACAUACUGCAAUUUAUUAAAUUAAUCCCUUUAGGGAACAACUAUUAGGUUGUUCCCAGAUUUUCACCAUUAUAAAAAACAGCACAAUGCAUAUUCUCAUCCUAUUUUUGCACAUUUAUGUAUGUGUGUUUGUGUGUAUAUAUAUAUAUGCUUCUAUUUUAUUGAUUGAUUGAUUGAUUGAUUGUCUUUUUAGGGCCACACUCUCAGCAUAUGGAGAUUCCCAGGCUAGGGUUGAAUUGGAGCUACAGCUGCUGGCCUGUGCCACAGCCACAGCAACACACGAUCCAAGCCACAUCUGCGAUCUACACCACAGCCCACAGCAAUGCCGGAUCCUUAACCAGCUGAGUGAGGCCAGGGAUCCAACCUGUGUCCUUAUGGAUGCUAGUCAGAUUCGUUUACACUGAGCCAUGAUGGCAACUCCUAUGUAUUUCUAUUUUAAAGUUGCUCACUGUAGACUUAGAGGAUCGAAUGAUAUGCACAUUUUAUGUCAUAGAUGUUGGGAAAUUAUCUUCCAAAACAUAUGUACAGAUUUUAUACCCUUAGUAUUUGAAAGUUCUAACUUCUUCACACCAUUUCAAACACUGGACAUUAUCAGUCAUUAUUUUAUAUUAUCUGUCACAUGCAUCUCCUAUUUAUAUCAUAAGUGAAAAAUAAAGCUAUCUUAAUAGUAUUCCUUUAAUUGCAACUGGAAUUGGGCAUAUUUUUAUAUCAUCAGGUGUCAUUUCUUUUGUGAAUUGAUUAUUUGUGUCCUUUGCUCAUUUCUCUUAGGUUAGAUUUUUUAAUUAAUUUGUAGAAGCUCUGUAUACAUUAUUAUAGGUACUAAUCCUUUAACUAUUACAUAAAUUGCAGGUUUUUGCCCAAUUUGUCAUUUGUCUUACAAUUGUAGUGUUUUACACCUUUCAGAAGUUUGUGAUUUUUUAAGAUUGUGAUUUUGUGAUUUUAUGUCUUUCCCGCUGUGACAUCUGACCUUGAUGGCACAUUAAAAAAAGAAGGGCCUCCUCUAAUCCCCAAAUUAUAAGCAUUUACAUUUGAAUCUUUAAUCCAAUCUGAGAAUCUUAUGUGUGUGCAGUGUGGAAUCUAAGAAUUAAAUUUUAUUUUCAAAAGGGCCGCAUCUCAUUUACCUCUGUAUUCCCUAUGCCUAUGUCUGGCACUACUGGUUGAAAAAUGCAGUCACUGCUUACUAACUGGAAAUGCUAGCUUUUUUGUAUAUUAAACUUCCACAUGUGUAUCAGCUGAAUUUUCUAUUAUGUUUUUCUGUUUCCUAUUGUAUUUCAUUAAUUUAUCCAUUUCUAUGCUAGUAUCAUACUGCUUUAAUUAUUCUAUCUGUAGAGUAUUUGGGGAAUAUGUAAAAAUAUGGCCUAUAGUAGAAAGUCUAAACUUGUUACCAGGUGCACAGAGCGCUUCCUAGGACAGCCCUCCCUUGUUCUCCAGGUUCAUUGCCUAUGCACAUAUCUGUUUUAGGAAUAACAUAUGAUUUGCAGUCCCCUGGUCUCUUACACUCUAACAGAUUUGCAUGCUAUUCCCUAUUUUUGGAGGACCAACCCCCCUAAUCCCCACAAGAAAGUACCCCUCUUCACUCAAGGAUACCCUCAAGUUUUACUCUCCCUGACCAUCUUUUCUCUAUCACAUGCUUUCUUUACCAGUCUUUCUACAUAUACAUAUACUAUAUAAAAUAUAGCAUGCACCACCCUGAUUUAUUGAGCUUAUUUUCUAUAUGUGUCCCCUCCCCACCCCAAGAAAGUCUUUCCCUAAGGGCCACAUCUCAUUUACCUCUGUAUUCCCUAUGCCUGUGUCUGGCACUAAGUAGAGAUACUCACUAAAUGCACUCCGAACAAAUGAGUGAAAGUCAGUCAUACCAACAUCAUGAU
rnacentral:lncRNA from 1 species